GAUGAACGCUGGCGGCGUGCUUAACACAUGCAAGUCGAACGGAAAGGCCCAAGCUUGCUUGGGUACUCGAGUGGCGAACGGGUGUGUAACACGUGGGUGAUCUGCCCUGCACUUCGGGAUAAGCCUGGGAAACUGGGUCUAAUACCGGAUAGGCCCACUCCUUGGGUGUUGUGGUGGAAAGUUUUUUCGGUGUGGGAUGAGCUCGCGGCCUAUCAGCUUGUUGGUGGGGUAAUGGCCUACCAAGGCGUCGACGGGUAGCCGGCCUGAGAGGGUGUACGGCCACAUUGGGACUGGGAUACGGCCCAGACUCCUACGGGGGGCAGCAGUGGGGAAUAUUGGACAAUGGGCGCAAGGCUGAUGGAGGGAAGCCGCGUUGGGGGUGACGGCCUUCGGGUUGGAAACCCCUUUCGCGAGGGACGAAGCGUUUUGUGACGGUACCUGGAGAAGAAGCACCGGCUAACUACGUG
rnacentral:rRNA from 1 species